rnacentral:lncRNA from 1 species
GCCAAAUGGAUCAAGCACAGUUAUUUUCAGGACUAGCCUUCUGCAAAGAAAAUUUUGGUAAUAAAUGAAUAGCACAACUGCAUUUCAAAUCAUUAAUCUCAAUGUCAGCUUUCAAGAAAUGCAAGAUAUAUGAACAGUAGCUAUGUUGUCAUGGGAUUUAUGCUGUCCACACCACACUGGAGUUUGCAGCCUCUCAUCUUCUGUUAACACUACCCACCCCACCAUCGUUCACUGUCAGAAUAUCCCUGUAGCAGCCACCACAGCCCCAGAUGCUUGCCCAAGAAACAAUCUUUUUAAGAGGGAGAAAAAGUGGGUGGGCUGCUGUUCUCUGAAUAUUGGAACAAGCUAUGUUGCCUUGGAUGGAUAGCAGAAACUUCAGUAAGAAUUCAUCUGCAUCAUGGAACGAAAACAUUCUGCUGCCAAUAGUCAAGGAGAAAUUAGACAGGCAUAGUAAACACAGAAUUGGCUCAGCUCUUUCCUUUCUUCUAAUCUGAUUUUGUAUUUUUCUCCUGGAACAUCAAGCCAUAAACUCUUCUCUAAUUCUCUUGGGUCAGUUGCUUCAGGGAAUGUGGCUUAACGAUGCUUUAAGAUUAGAAAGAACUUUGAACUUGGAUUAUAUUUAAAAGUAUAAGUGGGAGCUAGAAGAGGAGAACUCAUGGACACAAAGAGUGGAACAACAGACACUGGGGUCUACUUGACAGUGGAGGGUAGGGGGAAGGAGAGAAGCAGAAAAAAUAACUAGUGAGUUCUAGGCUUAGUGCCUGAGUGACAAAAUAAUCUGUACAACAAACCCCGUGACACAUAACAAACCUGCACAUGCACCCCUGAACCUAAAAGUUUAAAAAACUGCAAUUUUAUUAAUCACAAAUUAUUUAUCUUCAAUUUUAUGAAUAGUAACAUGCCUUCAACAGCUUGCUUUCUUUUAAUGACACAGCCUUUGAAAGUUAUAUUUCUAUCAGGAUGCUGUCCUAUUACUCUACAUUGAGCAAGUCUUCUUGAUUAGACUUCAAUGAAAAGCUCCUUUGUUUUCCCUGAACAGCUCAUAAAAUAUUUCAGGAAAACAUACAUUGAAGUUGAAGAUGUAGUCAUUCAGACAAACAGAAUUAGUAUUUGUGAAUAUGUA